UGUGAAAGUGUGCUAGCAAGUCCAAUAUUGAGAUUAUUCAACUCUUUCAGAACAUUGUUCUCCGUUUCAUAGUCGCAGCUUACCGGUAUGACAGAAAUUAAUUAUCCACCGAGAUAUUAUGACGAUAGGACCUUCGUCCUGACGAGAUUACCGAGUUUUGCCCGUAAACACGAGAAAAGGCUAGAAGCGCACCACUCCAGCAGUAAUUCAACUACUUGACAACUCUCAAGUCGUUAGAUGUCUCAAACACCGAAGACCAUAUGACUUAGAAUAGGAUUCAUAGACUACGGCCGGGGCCAUUCCACUGGAAGUAAGACUCCACAUAUGUUUUAUACAUAUAUACGUU